AAGGCUUUAGCUUAAUAAAAGUAUCUGAUUUGCACUCAGGAGAUGCAGGUUAAUGUCCUGCAAGUCUUA
rnacentral:tRNA from 1 species